rnacentral:rRNA from 1 species
UACGAAGGGGGCUAGCGUUGCUCGGAAUCACUGGGCGUAAAGGGUGCGUAGGCGGGUCUUUAAGUCAGGGGUGAAAUCCUGGAGCUCAACUCCAGAACUGCCUUUGAUACUGAGGAUCUUGAGUACGGGAGAGGUGAGUGGAACUGCGAGUGUAGAGGUGAAAUUCGUAGAUAUUCGCAAGAACACCAGUGGCGAAGGCGGCUCACUGGCCCGGUACUGACGCUGAGGCGCGAAAGCGUGGGGAGCAAACAGG